UACGUAGGGUGCAAGCGUUGUCCGGAAUUAUUGGGCGUAAAGAGCUCGUAGGCGGUCUGUCGCGUCUGCUGUGAAAACUCAGGGCUUAACCCUGAGCUUGCAGUGGGUACGGGCAGACUAGAGUGAUGUAGGGGAGACUGGAAUUCCUGGUGUAGCGGUGAAAUGCGCAGAUAUCAGGAGGAACACCGAUGGCGAAGGCAGGUCUCUGGGCAUUAACUGACGCUGGAGGAGCGAAAGCAUGGGGAGCGAACAGG
rnacentral:rRNA from 1 species